rnacentral:rRNA from 1 species
UACGAAGGGGGCUAGCGUUGCUCGGAAUGACUGGGCGUAAAGGGCGCGUAGGCGGCUUGCACAGUCAGGCGUGAAAUUCCUGGACUCAACCUGGGGACUGCGCUUGAGACGUGUGGGCUUGAGUGGGGAAGAGGGUCGUGGAAUUCCCAGUGUAGAGGUGAAAUUCGUAGAUAUUGGGAAGAACACCGGUGGCGAAGGCGGCGACCUGGUCCUUGACUGACGCUGAGGCGCGAAAGCUAGGGGAGCAAACAGG